GACGAACGCUGGCGGCGUGCCUAAUACAUGCAAGUCGAACGCUUCUUUCCUCCCGAGUGCUUGCACUCAAUUGGAAAGAGGAGUGGCGGACGGGUGAGGAACACGUGGGUAACCUACCCAUCAGAGGGGGAUAACACUUGGAAACAGGUGCUAAUACCGCAUAACAGUUUAUGCCGCAUGGCAUAAGAGUGAAAGGCGCUUUCGGGUGUGGAUGAUGGAUGGACCCGCGGUGCAUUAGCUAGUUGGUGAGGUAACGGCUCACCAAGGCAACGAUGCAUAGCCGACCUGAGAGGGUGAUCGGCCACACUGGGACUGAGACACGGCCCAGACUCCUACGGGAGGCAGCAGUAGGGAAUCUUCGGCAAUGGACGAAAGUCUGACCGAGCAACGCCGCGUGAGUGAAGAAGGUUUUCGGAUCGUAAAACUCUGUUGUUAGAGAAGAACAAGGACGUUAGUAACUGAACGUCCCCUGACGGUACCUAACCAGAAAGCCACGGCUAACUACGUG
rnacentral:rRNA from 1 species